GUGGGGAAUUUUGGACAAUGGGCGCAAGCCUGAUCCAGCCAUUCCGCGUGCAGGAUGAAGGCCUUCGGGUUGUAAACUGCUUUUGUACGGAACGAAAAGCCUCUGGUUAAUACCCGGGGGUCAUGACGGUACCGUAAGAAUAAGCACCGGCUAACUACGUGCCAGCAGCCGCGGUAAUACGUAGGGUGCGAGCGUUAAUCGGAAUUACUGGGCGUAAAGCGUGCACAGGCGGUGAUGUAAGACAGUUGUGAAAUCCCCGGGCUCAACCUGGGAACUGCAUCUGUGACUGCAUUGCUGGAGUGCGGCAGAGGGGGAUGGAAUUACGCGUGUAGCAGUGAAAUGCGUAGAUAUGCGGAGGAACACCGAUGGCGAAGGCAAUCCCCUGGGCCUGCACUGACGCUCAUGCACGAAAGCGUGGGGAGCAAACAGGAUUAGAAACCCGAGUAGUCC
rnacentral:rRNA from 1 species